AACGAACGCUGGCGGCAGGCUUAACACAUGCAAGUCGAACGCACUCUUCGGAGUGAGUGGCAGACGGGUGAGUAACGCGUGGGAAUCUACCCAGCCCUUCGGAAUAGCUCCGGGAAACUGGAAUUAAUACCGAGUACGCCUACGGGGAAAGGAUUUAUCGGGUUGGAUGAGCCCGCGUUGGAUUAGCUAGUUGGUGGGGUAAGUGGCCUACCAAGGCGACGAUCCAUAGCUGGUCUGAGAGGAUGAUCAGCCACACUGGGACUGAGACACGGCCCAGACUCCUACGGGAGGCAGCAGUGGGGAAUAUUGGACAAUGGGCGCAAGCCUGAUCCAGCCAUGCCGCGUGAGUGAUGAAGGCCUUA
rnacentral:rRNA from 1 species